rnacentral:rRNA from 1 species
AGCGAACGCUGGCGGCAGGCCUAACACAUGCAAGUCGAACGAAGUCUUCGGACUUAGUGGCGGACGGGUGAGUAACACGGGGGAACGUACCUUUUAGUUCGGAACAACUCAGGGAAACUUGAGCUAAUACCGGAUGAGCCCUUAGGGGGAAAGAUUUAUCGCCGAAAGAGCGGCCCGCGUUAGAUUAGCUAGUUGGUGAGGUAGAGGCUCACCAAGGCUACGAUCUAUAGCUGGUCUGAGAGGAUGAUCAGCCACACUGGGACUGAGACACGGCCCAGACUCCUACGGGAGGCAGCAGUGGGGAAUCUUGCGCAAUGGGCGAAAGCCUGACGCAGCCAUGCCGCGUGAAUGAUGAAGGUCUUAGGAUUGUAAAAUUCUUUUACCAGGGACGAUAAUGACGGUACCUGGAGAAAAAGCACCGGCUAACUCUGUGCCAGCCGCCGCCGUAAAAC